UUGUGCUUCUUGCAAAAUUAAAAAGCUUCUUACUAUUGUUUCAGGUGCCUACACCACAGCCAGCAUUUAAACAGAUGGAUGAAACACCAUCGUCCUCCUCUCCAAACUUACAGUCGGCCGUUCGUAUUACUCUUGACAUUUCGGAGGUCAUCUCUCUUUCUCCCCUCAACACACAGACUGGUCUGGCUCCACGAUUCAAAAUGAAAAAGCAAAAUGGCAACAAAUGUCAAGUGUAACAGUGAUUCUUUCAGACAAAGCACCAAGAGAGCAAAGCUAUUAAAAAUUUCAUUCUCUCUGCCCUUCCGUUUACUGGGCUGCAUUCUCUAUGUUACUAAAAUCAGCACCCUUGGAAGGAAUGGCCAGCACUACUGCCUGGGACAUAGCGUUGUUUCUGCAAAUGUGACUCUAAGUGGAAUAAGACCCACAAAUAGCUCGUUUGGGAGUGACACUGCCUCAUGCAAGAGUCUUCUCACCACGGACCUUCUGACAGAAAUGUGGAAGCCCCUGGAGCCAAAGCGUAUGAGGUAGACCCAGAGAGGAGCCUUCACCCAAGCUCACUGGUGAGCUGCAUCUGCCCAUUACCCAGCCCGUGCUCCACACUGGCGACUUUGUUCCUUUUCCAGUUUCACUGCCGUCAGAGAAUUCCUUGUAAUUUUUUUUUUUUUAAGAUUUACUUAUUUAUUUGACAGAAAGAGAGGGAUGGAGAGCAUAAGCCAGGGAGCGAGGCAGAGAGAGAGGGAGAGGCAGGCUCCCCAUUGACGAGGGAGCCCAAUGUAGGGUUCAAUCCCAUGACCCUGAGAUCAUGACCUGAGCCAAAGGCAUACGCUUUAACCCACUGAGCCACUCAGGUGCCCCAAUUCCUUACAAUAUUAAAUAGAGUAGCUACUACUUUGUCUUAUGGUUUUACCAAAAGGGAAUUUUUAAUUUUUUUAAUUUUUAAAAUUAUUUUUAAGAAUUUUAUCUAUUUAUUUACUUGAGAGAGAGAGCAGUUGGAGGGAGAGAGAAUCUGAAGCAGACUCUGCACUGAGCACAGAACGUGACGUGGGGCUCAGUCCCACAAGACUGUGAGAUCAUGACUGUGAGAUCAAACCAACAGUUGGAGGCUCAAACGACUGAGCCACCCAGGUGCCCUGGAUCUUGUUUCUUUCUUAAGAAAUUCUAUUUUCUAGUUUUAUUAAGAAACAAAUGACAUAUAUCACCAUAGAAGUUUAAGGUGGACAGCAUGAUGGUGUGAUUUACACAUAUUGUGCAAUGAUUACCUUAAUACAUUCAGUUGAUGUCCAUCAUCUAUAUAGAUAAAAAUAUAAAGAAAAAAAAUUUUUUUUAAUUUUUUUUUUAAGAUUUUAUUUAUUUAUUUAUUUGACAGAGAGAGAUCACAAGUAGGCAGAGAGGCAGGCAGAGAGAGAGGAGGAAGCAGGCUCCCUGCUGAGCAGAGAGCCCGAUGCGGGACUCGAUCCCAGGACCCUGAGAUCAUGAUCUGAGCCGAAGGCAGUGGCUUAACCCACUGAGCCACCCAGGCGCCCAAGAAAAAAAAUUUUCUCCUUGUGGUAACUCUUAGGUUUUAGUCUCUUAACAACUUCCAUAUAUGUUACACAGCAGUGUUAGUUAUAGUCCUCAUGUUGUACAUUACAUCCCUACUUCUCAUUUAUCUGAUCACUGGAAGUUGGUACCUCUUGACCUCCCUCCUCCAAUUCCUCCUCCCUCCAUCUAAAAGGGAAUCUUGAAGAUGGUCAGAGAAGACCAGUCUAGCAUUAUGCAAGUCAAAGUCUUAAAACUUGUGGAUAAAAGACAAGAUUAUACUUAAUAAAUCUGCUGAAUUACUUAUAAUUUACUGUUACAGGGCAUUAUGUAUUAUAUUAGAUCUAAAACAAAAAGGUAUUUUAUAUUAAAACAUUUAUUCCAGACAUGGGAAUUGAGUGGAAAUUUUGUAUUUUAUUUCCUAGCACAAUGUUUUUAGUAAUACAACUACUCUUAUACUCAUAUGUACAGCUAAUUUUAUAGUUGUAUCAAACUAUGAAAGUGAGCAUAUGUUCAAAAAAAUCAGAAAAAAAAGUUGUAACAGAGACCCUAAGAAGCAAAGGAAUUAAUUUAACUUUAGAAGGAUUUAAGGUAAAUAAACUUAACCAAGUCCUUGUUACCUGUGGGGACCUGUAUGUGGUGUGUUCUCAUUUAUUAUUUGAUUAUUUAAUUCCCAAGUUAAUGC
rnacentral:lncRNA from 1 species